CACGCCCUUAGAGUUUGAUCCUGGCUCAGGACGAACGCUGGCGGCGUGCCUAAUACAUGCAAGUCGAACGAAGCUUUCUUUCACCGAAUGCUUGCAUUCACCGAAAGAAGCUUAGUGGCGAACGGGUGAGUAACACGUAGGCAACCUGCCCAAAAGAGGGGGAUAACACUUGGAAACAGGUGCUAAUACCGCAUAACCAUGAACACCGCAUGAUGUUCAUGUAAAAGACGGCUUUUGCUGUCACUUUUGGAUGGGCCUGCGGCGUAUUAACUUGUUGGUGGGGUAACGGCCUACCAAGGUGAUGAUACGUAGCCGAACUGAGAGGUUGAUCGGCCACAUUGGGACUGAGACACGGCCCAAACUCCUACGGGAGGCAGCAGUAGGGAAUCUUCCACAAUGGACGAAAGUCUGAUGGAGCAACGCCGCGUGAAUGAAGAAGGCCUUCGGGUCGUAAAAUUCUGUUGUCAGAGAAGAACGUGCGUGAGAGUAACUGUUCACGUAUUGACGGUAUCUGACCAGAAAGCCACGGCUAACUACGUGCCAGCAGCCGCGGUAAUACGUAGGUGGCGAGCGUUGUCCGGAUUUAUUGGGCGUAAAGGGAACGCAGGCGGUCUUUUAAGUCUGAUGUGAAAGCCUUCGGCUUAACCGAAGUAGUGCAUUGGAAACUGGAAGACUUGAGUGCAGAAGAGGAGAGUGGAACUCCAUGUGUAGCGGUGAAAUGCGUAGAUAUAUGGAAGAACACCAGUGGCGAAAGCGGCUCUCUGGUCUGUAACUGACGCUGAGGUUCGAAAGCGUGGGUAGCAAACAGGAUUAGAUACCCUGGUAGUCCACGCCGUAAACGAUGAGUGCUAAGUGUUGGAGGGUUUCCGCCCUUCAGUGCUGCAGCUAACGCAUUAAGCAGCCGCCUGGGGAGUACGGUCGCAAGACUGAAACUAAGCUAUUUAAGACGGAAGGGCG
rnacentral:rRNA from 1 species